CGUAGGGUGCAAGCGUUAAUCGGAAUUACUGGGCGUAAAGCGUGCGCAGGCGGUUGUGCAAGACAGAUGUGAAAUCCCCGGGCUUAACCUGGGAAUUGCAUUUGUGACUGCACGGCUAGAGUGUGUCAGAGGGGGGUAGAAUUCCACGUGUAGCAGUGAAAUGCGUAGAUAUGUGGAGGAAUACCGAUGGCGAAGGCAGCCCCCUGGGAUAACACUGACGCUCAUGCACGAAAGCGUGGGGAGCAAACAGGAUUAGAUACCCUGGUAGUCCACGCCCUAAACGAUGUCUACUAGUUGUCGGGUCUUAAUUGACUUGGUAACGCAGCUAACGCGUGAAGUAGACCGGCCUGGGGAGUACGGUCGCAAGAAUUA
rnacentral:rRNA from 1 species